UAUAUAGUAAAUUCAGGUGUAAUUUAGGUCUCUAUAUAUUGUUCAUUUUAAAUAUAUAGCAAGGGUUCUCUGUAAUCUGUUCAUUGACUUCAUUCUUAUGACAAUAUUUAACUAAUAUAAUAUUUCUUAUUAUUGAGUAUUGACAUAUUUUAACCCGUUAUUUAUUUAACUUUUCUUCAUAAAAAUGACAGGUUUGUGACACACUGGAGGAUAAUGCUUUAAUGUCUGGGAGCAUGGGUGACAGAGAACCUUAGUUAGUUGCCUCAAGGCUCCGAGAUCAUAUCCUUACUCCCAAAGAACGAAGAGAUCCUCUUCUAUGGAAGAUGGUUGAAGAUUUGGUGGAAUCAGACUCUCAUUUGGACCGCUAUCCAAAGCUUGUGAAGGGUGAAUCAAAGGUGGUGUGGGAAUGGCAAGGUUGUAGGCUCCAGGGGCUGGUGACAUCUCUCGUUAUCGAGCAUCAAUGGGUACUCAGUCUCCCAAGGUUGAGAUAAUUGAUGGUAU